GGGAGGUACCUUUUAUUUACCAUGUCUAUUUGAACCAACUUUUAUUUAAUGGGUCUCAUAUGCGCUCAGACCUUUUAAAGUUUUGGCACAUCACAAUGAAUCUUAUACUUUUAUGGUGGAGUCUUUACCUGAUUGGUGCACGUGGCUUUUCAUGUUCCAGUUUAGGCACAGUAAGAUGCAUCUUUGUUAUCGUGAGAUGGAUUUAACUGUUCAUUUUGUGUAAUUGCUACCCAAGGUUGGUGUUGGGUCUUGAUUUAGAAAGGUUUGUGUUACAUAUCAGCCUGUACACUUACCAAAACAGAAGAAUAGGGAGAGAGA
rnacentral:misc_RNA from 1 species